rnacentral:lncRNA from 1 species
CUUGCUGGGAGGAUAUUGUGGUGCCUUGUGUUAAAAGUCCUGGGUUAUGGCAUAUGUGAAACAGCCGCGAAGGACAGAAGACUAUUUUUACGUAAUUAAUUGCCUGGGAACUAGUUGUUUAAAGGAGAAGGGUGUUCGCUGCAGUUCCUGAUACUGGUUUUUCUACAUGCUUCAGCCAAAGACAUAUACUCUUUGAUCCCUGAGAACACUAUUUCCUCAGUGUCUUUGCACAUGGAGUUCACUUCUCUGCUUGUGAAGUCUAUGAAUAUUGCAUGGCUGAUUUGUCACAAUUUUAAGUCUUCAACAUCUGGAGUGUUCUGGCAAGAAUUUGUAGGAAAAAUUUUUGAAUCAUCAGAUUACCAUAGCACAACCUUGGAGAAUAAAACUCUUUUGCUCUGAAGCUCAUCUAAUAACCUGAUAUCUCUCAAAUGAAUCUAUCCAAUGACAGGGAAUACCCCAUGUUAAACAGCUGAUUCUUGUUCUGAAUACGUUUAUUAUCUUGUAGUUAGUAAAUAAAUCAAUUGGACCCUUAAGACUUUGCUUAGAGUGAAUCUGUCUCCCAGAGCUUGAUCACAUUUGAAUGU